GCCCUGUGAUGCCUUAGGAGCAACACUUGAAGUUAAGUGUCGCACGGGCCAGUAAUUGUUCAGUGGUUGUGUCGUCCACUGAAUUACGCAGCUUGACGGGAGCGUUGCAGGAGGCACAGUGUGCCGCUUAGGCAGCAGCAGAGGAGGAGAAAGAGCAAGACAUUUGUGAGAUGCAUCUAAGUGCAAGAGCAAGAGAGCAGGGGAGCAGAAGCUCAGCCGUGCAAACUGCUGUCUUUGUACUGGGGACCUUACUGCCCACCUGCACAUGGACUGGACUAGAUCAGAUGCUUUCACAGUGGAGACAAUAUUCUUCCAAGCGGGGCUGAGGAGUGCGAGGGUAAGUUUCUGAACCAGAACUUCUGAGGCAGCGAUAGUUUAUGACUCAGGAGGUUGAGUGAGAAGCGGGGAGUGCAGUUGGGAAUGGCACGGGUGGGGGGUGCAGCGGGGGUGGGGAUCGGUCAUUCUGGUCUCUUUGGUCUCCUUGCUGUGGUUUCUUCCCAUUUGGCUUGCAGACAAGUGUAUUGUGCAUGGGGCCUCUCUGAUGUGGUGCUGUGAUGAUGAGUAAGCACACAUAUGAUGAAGUGGGUAUGUGUGUGGUAUCCAGAGCUCUGCCUGACACAUGGCCAUGAGGAAAUUGAGAGACAGGAUUAAAAAGCGAGGGGGAGGGUGGUGAUGGAAUAUAUAUCACAGAGCUUUUUACAGGCCAGGCAUUUCUCUCCAUCUAAUUAGAGGACAGUUGUGGGUUCUGCUGGUUACGUAACUUCUGAAGAUUUCCUGGUGAAAAAGUCAUAUGUUUAACAUGACACAUCUGGGUAAAUUAUUCAGAGAUUUUGGAGGAUGAACUCACUUCAACUUUACCCAGGUUUUCUGUUCUUAUUUGCUUUAAUCAUAUUGAAGACAGACAUGGGCCACAAGAAAACAACAGUCCCCUUUUCAAAGGCUUCAUGAGUCUGUCAGCCAAAAUGUCAUUUUCUCUUAUGAAAUUGAUUCACUUUUAAAGCUUUCAUACAUUUAGAACAGCUUUGGACAGCAGCACAGUACAUUGUUUUGUUCCGAUUGUUAAUCAGGCUUCAUUACAUUUCAUAUUACACUACAGUGCUGUGAAUUUCUUACUGCUUUGCAUACUGUUUCAGAUCAUCAAAGAAAUUUUAAUAUUAGACAAAGAUAACUUGAGUAAAUAAAAAAUGCAGUUUUUAAAUGAUGAUUUAUUUUAUUAAGGGGGAAAAAGUUAUCCAAACCUACCCAGUUCUGUAUGACAAGGUAAUUGCCCCUCAAAACUUAAAAACUGGUU
rnacentral:lncRNA from 1 species